UACUUCCUUGCAGGCCAUCUGAGCGCCGGGCGCGGUGGCGCGCGCCUGUAGUCCCAGCUACUCGGGAGGCUGAGGCAGGAGGAUCGCUUGAGCCCAGGAGUUCUGGGCUGUAGUGCGCUAUGCCGAUCGGGUGUCCGCACUAAGUUCGGCAUCAAUAUGGUGACCUCCCGGGAGCGGGGGACCACCAGGUUGCCUAAGGAGGGGUGAACCGGCCCAGGUCGGAAACGGAGCAGGUCAAAACUCCCGUGCUGAUCAGUAGUGGGAUCGCGCCUGUGAAUAGCCACUGCACUCCAGCCUGGGCAACAUAGCGAGACCCCGUCUCUUU